AAACCGCCUAGAGGUAAACGGGUGGAUCCGCAAAGUCGGCCCGCGGAAUUCAGCUCGGGAGGUCGCGCGCCCGCGGGUGGGUCGGGGAUCUUUAUCGACCCUCCCACCUCGGGACCGCGCGUCGACCGUGUGCACUUUCCGCGGGCAGAGCGCCACGACCGGUUCUCGGGCGGUCAGAAGGCGGCGGGGAUGGUAGGCGUGCGCUUCGGCGUGCGCUGGUAUAGCCCCGCCUGUCCCGAUCCGCUCGGGGACCGAGGAGCCGCCGCCGGCGUAGGCCGCCUUGCCUUCCUGGGAGGUUCGACUGGCAGAGACUGGGCAACCGUGUCUGCCGACCGCCUCUCUGGAUGGACGGGGUGGGCCCGCCGGCACAGGGUCGGUGGCGAAUCGGUCGGCCCUCCACCCGACCCGUCUUGAA
rnacentral:rRNA from 1 species